AGUAAUUAUUGACAGUCAGGAGGAGGAAGAGGAAGAGGAAGAGGAGAAGCCCUCUCCCCAACUUGGCCCUACACUGUCACAGGCCGUGGCGGAGGAGGAGGAGUACUCCCUGUCCCCCACCACACUGCACCCAUCAAGCCCUACACUGGAACAGGCCACUGAGGAGGAGGAGGAGGAGGAUGAUGAUGAUGAGGCGGCAUUUAGUGG